UACGAAGGGGGCUAGCGUUGCUCGGAAUCACUGGGCGUAAAGCGCACGUAGGCGGAUUGCUAAGUCAGGGGGUGAAAUCCUGGAGCUCAACUCCAGAACUGCCUUUGAUACUGGCAAUCUAGAGUCCGGAAGAGGUGAGUGGAACUCCUAGUGUAGAGGUGGAAUUCGUAGAUAUUAGGAAGAACACCAGUGGCGAAGGCGGCUCACUGGUCCGGUACUGACGCUGAGGUGCGAAAAGCGUGGGGAGCAAACAGG
rnacentral:rRNA from 1 species